rnacentral:tRNA from 1 species
UCCGCCAUAUGUGGCUAUAUGCCACAUAUAGGUAGUAUAUAUGCUAUUGGUGGAC